UCUCUGAUUCAGCGGCGGACGGGUGAGUAAUGCCUAGGAAUCUGCCUGAUAGUGGGGGACAACGUUUCGAAAGGAAUGCUAAUACCGCAUACGUCCUACGGGAGAAAGCAGGGGACCUUCGGGCCUUGCGCUAUCAGAUGAGCCUAGGUCGGAUUAGCUAGUUGGUGAGGUAAUGGCUCACCAAGGCGACGAUCCGUAACUGGUCUGAGAGGAUGAUCAGUCACACUGGAACUGAGACACGGUCCAGACUCCUACGGGAGGCAGCAGUGGGGAAUAUUGGACAAUGGGCGAAAGCCUGAUCCAGCCAUGCCGCGUGUGUGAAGAAGGUCUUCGGAUUGUAAAGCACUUUAAGUUGGGAGGAAGGGCAUUAACCUAAUACGUUAGUGUUUUGACGUUACCGACAGAAUAAGCACCGGCUAACUUCGUGCCAGCAGCCGCGGUAAUACGAAGGGUGCAAGCGUUAAUCGGAAUUACUGGGCGUAAAGCGCGCGUAGGUGGUUUGUUAAGUUGGAUGUGAAAGCCCCGGGCUCAACCUGGGAACUGCAUCCAAAACUGGCAAGCUAGAGUAUGGCAGAGGGUGGUGGAAUUUCCUGUGUAGCG
rnacentral:rRNA from 1 species